UGCCUGUGUCUGCCUCUCGGCCUUGUGGCGGGAAAAAGCGGAGCGGGAUGGAGCGCGCGGACACGCAGGAGCGCGUGAGGGAAUUGGCGUUGUCCGUGGAGGAGCUGACCCAGGAGCUGAGCCGGCUGGCCCGAAACCUCCAGGCGGUCACCGAUUACCAGGCGACGCUGCUGAGGGUCAACGGGGCCCUGUGUUCCUGGAUGCACAACGUGGAAGCUUUGUCUGGACAUCGGCACCAACGCCCCCCAGCCCCCCAGGAAUAACGGGGGGCACGGGAUGACCGAGACCCUCGAAUCCUCCCGUCCCCGCGACCCGUACCUCGCCUCGUCCUGACCAAUAAAUCAGUCGACCCCUGCCAGACUCAUCUCUCUCCUCCCCGCGUGU